UACAGUUUCUAUACAACUCUUCAGGGACACU
rnacentral:piRNA from 1 species